GGGGGAAUGCGGAGGGAUCAUUAC
rnacentral:rRNA from 1 species